rnacentral:rRNA from 1 species
CCUACGGGAGGCAGCAGUGAGGAAUAUUGGUCAAUGGACGAGAGUCUGAACCAGCAAAGUAGCGUGAAGGAUGCCUGCCCUAUGGGUUGUAAACUUCUUUUAUAUGGGAAUAAAAUGUUCCACGUGUGGGCUUUUGUCUGUACCAUAUGAAUCCGGAUCGGCUAACUCCGUGCCAGCAGCCGCGGUAAUACGGAGGAUCCGAGCGUUAUCCGGAUUUAUUGGGUUUAAAGGGAGCGUAGGUGGAUUGUUAAGUCAGUUGUGAAAGUUUGCGGCUCAACCGUAAAAUUGCAGUUGAAACUGGCAGUCUUGAGUACAGUAGAGGUGGGCGGAAUUCGUGGUGUAGCGGUGAAAUGCUUAGAUAUCACGAAGAACUCCGAUUGCGAAGGCAGCUCACUGGACUGCAACUGACACUGAGGCUCGAAAGUGUGGGUAUCAAACAGGAUUAGAUACCCUGGUAGUC